UACGUAGGUGGCAAGCGUUGUCCGGAUUUAUUGGGUUUAAAGGGUGCGUAGGCGGUCAUGUAAGUCAGUGCUGAAAUAUCCCGGCUUAACCGGGAGGGUGGCAUUGAUACUGUAUGACUUGAGUAAAGUUGAGGUUGGCGGAAUUGACGGUGUAGCGGUGAAAUGCGUUGAUAUCAUCAGGAACACCGGUGGCGAAGGCGGCUUACUGGAUCUCGUCUGACGCUGAUGCACGAAAGCUAGGGGAGCGAACGGG
rnacentral:rRNA from 1 species